rnacentral:rRNA from 1 species
AGUGAACGCUGGCGGUAGGCCUAACACAUGCAAGUCAAACGGCAGCACAGUAAGAGCUUGCUCUUACGGGUGGCGAGUGGCGGACGGGUGAGGAAUACAUCGGACUCUACUUUUUCGUGGGGGAUAACGUAGGGAAACUUACGCUAAUACCGCAUACGACCUACGGGUGAAAGCAGGGGAUCUUCGGACCUUGCGCGAUUGAAUGAGCCGAUGUCGGAUUAGCUAGUUGGCGGGGUAAAGGCCCACCAAGGCGACGAUCCGUAGCUGGUCUGAGAGGAUGAUCAGCCACACUGGAACGGAGACACGGUCAAGACUCCUACGGGAGGGAGCAGUGGGGUAUAUUGGACAAUGGGGGCAAGCCUGAUCCAGCCAUACCGCGUGGGUGAAGAAGGCCUUCGGGUUGUAAAGCCCUUUUGUUGGGAAAGAAAAGCAGCAGGUUAAUACCCCGCUGUUCUGACGGUACCCAAAGAAUAAGCACCGGCUAACUUCGUG